rnacentral:sRNA from 1 species
UGAGUCGGAUACAUCGUCACCAAUAUGUGA